rnacentral:misc_RNA from 1 species
UACAUAUGUCAAAGGAACUUAUUUCAUUCGACUCCAGAAAUAUUUGGAUUCCAGUGAUUGGUCGAAUGCGCAUAAAAUUCAUUCUAUUCGCAAAUUGUUUAGCCAUUAGGAAUCUCCGAUUUACAAUGUAUGCAAGAGGAACUGAUAUCUCACGCCCGUAGAAGGGUAGACGUCCAGCGAUUGGACGGCGAACACCACACGAAUAUAAAGUCAUUCAAUUCUUAGAAUUUGCAGCCUUUGAGGAGGGAUAUUUGAUACAUAUGUCAAAGGAACUAUGAUUUCA